AUCAAGGCCUUGGGGCUGAAGUUCUCUGUUGAUCCACAGAACAUGUACAGCAUGGCUGUGGCAGUGCAAGCUCCACCCACACUACCCCACUAUUGUACUUCCAUCUUAACAGAGAAGAGCCACCUCUAGAAGUGAAAGGACACUUCAGGCCCCAGUGUCCAUUCAAUCCUUGACCGCU
rnacentral:sRNA from 1 species